GGUGCUAUAGUGUAGUGGUUAUCACUCGGGAUUUUGAUAAGUUGAUGACUUCAGGAUUUCCCAGACUUCCCGAAACCCAGGUUCGAACCCUGGUAGCACCU